GACGAACGCUGGCGGCGUGCUUAACACAUGCAAGUCGAACGAAGUGGCGAACGGGUGAGUAACGCGUAAUCAACCUGCCCUUCAGAGGGGGACAACAGUUGGAACCGACUGCUAAUCCCGCAUACUGAAGGAGGGGUUUGCGUCUGAUUAGCUAGGUGGAGGGGUAACGGCCCACCAAGGCGAAGAUCAGUAGGCGGUCUGGGGGGGGUGACGGCCAAAUUGGGACUGGGACACGGCCCAGACCCCUACGGGAGGCAGCAGGGGGGAAUCUUCCGCAAUGGACGAAAGUCUGAAGGAGCAACGCCGCGGGAGUGAUGACGGCCUUCGGGUUGGAAAGCUCUGUUAAUCGGGACGCGGUACCGGAAUAGAAAGCCACGGCUAACUACGUGCCAGCAGCCGCGGUAAUAC
rnacentral:rRNA from 1 species